CUCGCCCCGCGCUCGGCUGCCCAGGCCUCGCAGCCCGGGUGAGGCGCGGGGGAGCCCGCGGGGGAGCAGGGCAGGGGAAAGGAGCUGGCCCUAAAUUUGGCAGCGACAGCGAACUGUGCGAGCCGAGGCUCGCAGUAAUCCCCGGGCAGCUGCGCUAGCGAGAGCUACGCGUGCUCGUAGCUCGUGCUGUGGGCUUGUUUGUGGAAUCAUUAUCCCUUACAACCGCAAAUAAUUGCUUAAGUACAGAAGGAGCCCACAACAUAUAUUAGCAACACGGAUCGACACCGUAAAGGUGUAUCCUUUUUACUAUUAAACUUACGAAUAUGGUGAAGUUAUUUAAGAUUGUUUUUAAACAUCAACUAGCCAAGAAAAGUAUCACAGCUCUUUUAAGAUUACCCAAGAAUGUUGCGUUAUCUCCGAGCCAGAAGAUGCAGUUUAGGUGUGAAGUACCGUGCCUAACACACGAAGAUGGAGCUCACUGUGCAUCACAGGACGGAAUACUACCGUCAUCGCAUCCCUUUUUGACCAACAAGUGAUAAGACCUGGCUAUGCAGUAACCACUGCAACAGGAGGUACAAGCCCCGCAGGACUCUUAAUCUUCAUCCCACCACGUGGACUCUAAAGCUGUCAAGUGCAAAACGCAGCCCCUUUACAUAUCGGAAGGACUCUAGACUGUCCACAGAGCCUCCUCCUCUCCAGGCUGAAGAACCACAAGUCACCUAUCCUGUCUUCAAUUAAUGGCACUGUUUGAUAAGAUCCUCCCACAGAGCAACUGAAAUCUCUGCUUCUAAAUACUUCAAGUCAGUGCUAGGACUCCACAGUAAAAGAUUUUCUCUGGUGUUCUCAAAUGGAAAAUUGGUUCCACUCCUUCUUCUCAAAGUACAUAAUGCUGUAGAUGUCAAUGUGCCAUCUCCCUGCUUCCCACCAUCACUCUCCACCAGAAGCAACAACUGCACUAUUGGUCAGUGUACAGAUAAUAGUUUUCACCCUCUGUAAGAUGACCCAAGUAGCAAAUAUUUUUUCACUCAAUGUAAAGUCUUGUUUACAAAGAACACCAAGGUCCCAAUCUCAAUGAAGCACAGUCUAUCCAUAGGUAUAUUGCACUGUGAACUCCAAAAAAGCAGAGCAAAACAAGAUACCACAGUAGCCCACCUUCUAAAAUACAACAUAUCCAUUGCAAAGAUUGAAUAUAUAUUUUUUUUAAAUCUUAGUGCAAAAUUAAAACACCAAUAUGAGGAGAGAAACUCAAGUUUUCAGCAAGAACACAAAGAGUAAUAAAAAAAAAAAUGGGGGGAAAAUGAAAAGAAACUGCACAUCCAAGUAUGACAAAGAAGUGGAUAUACAAAAUACUUCCUACAUCCUAUAUCUUAGGGAGAGAUAACAUUUCUCACACUUUAAGCAAGAUUUGUAGAAUGCAUCAAUUUAAGAAUGGCUUACUGAAAGGCAUCCCUUGUUCCCAGCCAUGCUUAGUCCUUCCUUUCCACCAUUCAGCAUUACAAGUUGCCUAGUGCCAAUACAAAAGCCUCCUACCAAGCCCCAUUGUCCGUCCUCAAGCAGUUGGAAAUCUGACCUAUAUAGCACCUGACCCCAAAGAAUGUCAGUUUCCAGAAAUUCCCCCUCACUUGCUAACAGACCAACUAGUUAAUGAGUAGUUUACUACACUAGCAGUGUAAAAUUAGUGCUUUAAGUAUAUAAUUUACAAAUGCAACUAAAUACCCUUCAAAAGAUGAGAGGCAAAAAAAAAAAGUAAAAACACUGGACUGCUUUGUGUCCUCCUCUAGUAAUUUAACCAUUGCAUAACAAAUAAGACAACACAAAGAAACAUGGGUAAUUCCUGUGCUUAGAAGCCACUGGUUAAGAUAUAAAACAGCAGCAAUCUCUAAGGAUGCUCAAAGAAACCUGUAGGCUUUACCACACCAUUCACACUUCCAUACCCACCUUCACUGCACAUGUAGAACCUAGGAACUGCCAUACUGAGGAACUUAAUUUCCCAUCUUAGUAUUCAGUAAGGAACUGUGUAGUGCAUCAUAUUUAUAAUAUGCUGACAACAGCAGCUCUUUAUCCCUGGAGCCUUCAGACAAUUGUCCAACCUAUGCCCUGACAGAUGUGGUAUUACAAGACAAUGCAAUAUAAUUAUAUUGUCCAAUACAUAAGUUCCUCCCAAAUACACAACAAAAAUCUAUAGCUUAAGUUACAUUUACAGCCCCAGUGAUGUCCUAUACAGAAUUUAGGAAUUCAAAACUCCAGCCACCUGAGCAACAGUGGGGCUCACACCUCAUACACCCAUCUUCACCUCCUUUAAAACAAAUAAGAUACAGCAUGAAAUCUCAAGAUACCAUAAAAGCCAGUUGUUUCAGAAUUGAACUCCCCCAAAACUGUUCUUUCAUGAUGCACUCAUUAUAGGUAUAUAAGCUCUUACCAUAUUAAGGAAAAACACUCCACAAAAUAAGAAACUGUGUUCCUUUCCUUUAUUAUGAAGUACCAAUACCUUGCAUACAACAUGCAAUUUAUUGCUUAUUGACAUUAUUGCAUAUAUCAAAGGGAAAAAAAAUCAGCCAAUAUCAUUUUAUGCAAGCUCCUAAACUGUUCAAACAAAAUACAGAAAUGCUUUACAAUAUCACUGAAAUGCUAACAAAUAAUUCAGAUUCUUUCUUAUAAUAAAAAGUAAAUUUAAACCCAUAAUACUUAAUAAUUCACUUUAUUAUGAUGGUUACUUUUAUCACCAAUCUUCAGAAUUGUUAUAUUGCAUUUUUAAGUUCUUGUGCCAUGAUAAGGAUUGCUACUACAACCAGGUCACAUUACUAGUUGAAUUUAAUAAUGUGAUCCUGACAUUUUGUGACAGUAUUAGAAUUUACUGCAAACCAGAUUGUCAAGAUUUACAGGAAAUCAAUCUAGCAGAAUCUAGUUUUCAUCCUUGCUCUGCACAUUAAGUUAGAUAAACUCAUCAAGUUUCUUCUUAGCUAGAAGAUUAUACAAACAUUUUCAAAUUACAGGCUUCAUUACUUAUGCCUAACUUGUAACUCGUUUCUUCCAAACAGGUUUUCUAAUUUGAUUUUAUAGCAGGUUAGCUGUGCUUAUUUUACAUAAAUGGUAUCUGUCAAUAUUGAAGAAAACACUGUUUGAUAAAUGCAUGCUAGAAACAAAUCCAGGACAUUUGGAUGUGUGCAUAUUAAGUGUGCAAAUUAUAUAGCCGAGCUCAUGAUUAGCCCUUUUCCUCCCUUCCCCCUAUGAUUUGAUAGAUUUUUCUCAUGAAACUGGAAUAGGAUUACUAUAAACAAAACCACAUUGCAUUCAAAAUUUUGUAUUCUGUAUUACAGCUUAGUACUCAUAUUUAAAUGUUGCUUUCAAACCUAGCAAAUUUUUAAAAAUACCAAAAUUUAAAAACUUAGAAGACCGUUUACAUGCAAUAUGUUCCAUUUGGGUGCAGAUUCUCAUAUACUUAAAUAUUUAUAGGCUCAUAAAAGCAUGUCCUGUCCACAAGACAAGUACAAUGUUUGACAUCCCACACAUAGAUUAAAAAUAAAAAUACAAUACAGAAUAUUUUAUUUGCUUUUAUAUUUUCAAUUUCAGUAAGUAGGAAGUUAUAAAUAGCACACUGAAUCAUUAUAAGGUUGAUACCAAGCCAUGCUGAUCUCUUCAUACUUCACUCUCUUAAAGACACUUCUUUUGCUUACAACUGUGUUAAAAAUGUAUUUACUUCGUAUUAAACAGAUGCCCUCUCAGUGAAGGACAUCACACAAUGAAACUUCUCGGAAAAAAAUUGCCAAAAUAUUUCUUAUACCAAACAAUACUAUUUAUUCUUCAUAGCUACCUUCCAUUCUUUACUGAGCAAUAAAGUGCUUGGUUAUUAUAAAUAGAGCAAGACUUUCAAAGGAGGUAGCUAGCAGAAUUUUUUAAUGGGUAAGAAACCUUACCAAGUGUUACCAUCUAAAAGUAUGACUUGAUGCUUUAUCCCAGGCAGCACAUAUUUCAUCUUCUCUGCCAUAAAAACAACUUUCAAGUUGCUUUCAGAAAAGCCUAAGAACUUCACCUGUCUAACACAGAUUUUAUCCAGGUUUGGGUGAAUGCUAGAAGUUCAUAAAUAUUAUCACUAUUUCUAUCUGACUGCUGUCAAUCAGGGUAUCAGCAAUGAAGUACUGUUCUUUUUCUGCCUUUAUUCCAUAGACAGAGAAAGCUGACCAGGAACAAGCUUUCCCUUGUGGAGUUUCUUGUAGCCAGAUAACGCUGUUGUACAGUAGGCUAUUAAAAAUAUGAAAGGGGCUUACAAUACUUUUCAAAGUCUUCUACACUUGCAUUUUUUCAUCUGAAAAUUCUAGUCCCUUUCUAUUUGCUUUGUUGAUGGCCUUUAGCAGCAGCAGCCAACACCACACCAGACCCUAAGCUGGAGUAAUUGUCAAGCAGCCCUUUAUUUUCCUCUGAAUGGCUCAGCAGAAGCAUCACAAAACAAUUUUUCAAACUUUUCUAUUAAAUAGUCCUUUAAAGAAAGCUUGGACAUACAUAUGCUUAAACACACACAAGGCCAUGAGAAAAUAUCCUCUUCAUACAGUAAUCAACAACUGGUAUUCCAUUUUAUACAGCUUGAAAAUUUUAAAAAAUAAAAUUUCAUCUUCCAUCGUGAACAGCCACAAACACCUAAACCUUUCUGCUACGUGUCAGUCUGCUGUUGUCCCAACCACAGCAGUAGGAAGACAUCUGGAUCUCAGUGUGUACUCAAAGUCUCCUCCUCUCCUCUUUAAAUCUGCCUGAAUGCAUCUGCUCACUUGUGUAAGCUUUUACUCUUAGGUUGUUAGUUCUGCACAUCUUCUCCCAUAGUUUUUUAAGUAAAGAUGGAACUCAUUCUCUUUCAAACACUGUAACUAAUUUGACUUUUAAUAAACUUUAGUACAAAAUUUGGAAUUAUUAAGGUUUUAUAUAUAAAGUCAGCUCCCCUCAUUUUCCUAUGCAAAUAUUUCAUUAUUCAACAGAUUAUAUUUUUAAGUAAUUAUGUUAUGAAAUUAUGGAGCUCACUCAAGAAAGAUAGCAUGUAUUUAUAGAGGUAGAGUAGGCUUCAGAGAUGUAAUUCUUACCACUGAAGAAUUCACACAGAUAACCCAUGCAGCAUCCCUGCUGUGUGAGACUCUCCACUGAAAUCCACUGAAACACUCUCUGACAAAAUGAGUAUUUGAAGUAAACUUCCUCUCUGCAAGUACUGAUUCCACAAAUCAGUUACAGAACACCUGACCUACCAUUCUCCUGUAGAGUUCUGAAAGUGGUAUUUACUCAUCUUUUGAUGAAAAAUUAAAGCCAUAAAAAAGGGAAACUUGCAUUUCUACAUACACCCUAACUGGUACAAAUAGUCUCUCCCAUGAUCAGCAAGUUAAUUUUAUGUCACCUGGUACUGAAGGAUAGAAAAGAAAAACAAGUUAUUUUUUACAAGAGUCACCCCUUCCAUUUGAUAUGCCCACAGAAAAGACACCAGGUGACAUGCCAAAAGUCUGCUUUCACAAUGCAUCUGUUAAAAAUAGAAGUUUUAAGCCACUAAUAAGAUAUUACAUUCAAAAGCAUUUGUUAUGAUGCUAAUUAUCAUGCAUUUACUUUUUUUUCAUAAAAAAGCAAAGACACAAGCUUACAACAUUAAAUUUUAUCAAUAUUUCACCACAUUUUAAAAAUUAAUAAAGUGCAAUUAAAAAUGGGUGUCACAGGUAUCUAAUUUGCUGUAUUAUAAGCUUUUAAUGGCAGAUAUAAAGUGCCCUAUAUACUAUUGUAUUCAGUAUGUCACAACUUUGCCACCUGUUUACUAAAGUCUUUGAUGAAACCACAGCUGUUAAUAGUUUUUUACAUAAGAAAAAGUUCUUCUGAUUCAUCAGGAUACAAUUGUAAUAACUUUUUUUAAAAAAUUAUAAAAUUUAAAGCUAAUGCAUUGCAAAAUAAGUUUUUAAUUACACUAAUUUUGUACAGCAAUCCAAAAUACCAGCUGUUCUAAAAGAAUUAUCCCAUUGCCCUUCAAUCCUGGGCUGUUGGCCAAAGUGUAGUAACAAGAGUUUGGGGUUGUUUUUUGUUUCUAAAUCUAGUUUCAUCAUCAACUGUAUUAUAGCUUGACUUACUUUUUUUUCUCCCUUAUCAAACAGAAGUCUAUCUAGAAGUGGAAGAAGAAGACCAUUUUAAUGAAUGGUGAAUUUAAUGAACAAAAUAUUUCAAACACUGAAAUAUUAAAAUCGAUGUAAGAAAUUGUAAAUUUCAGAAACUUUUCAUGAAUUAUCAACCUAUGAGUUGCUCCAAAUUGUCUUCUCAAUUUUUUCAUCCUACUUCCCUAAAAGGAAAGGCAGACUUCUAUUUUCAAGCAUACUUCUCCAAAAUGUUUGAAUUUACUUAAUUUUAUAAAGGAACAAGCUUUUACAAAACUAUUAAUCACAGGGAUCUAGUGAUUUAAAAAGCAAAGAGUAUUUCAUAUACACCUUUAAAUCAUAAAGGUGGUAGAAACAGCCUUUUUACAAUUUUGCAUUAGGUACACUGAAAACACAUUUUAAAAGAUGCCAGGUUCUGCAAAUUAGCAUAAAAGAGAGUUGCUUUGAGCAAAACAGGUCACAGGACUGACUCUCAAAGACUGGAUUUACUGGUGCCCAAUAAGGCACUGUGCUCAUUCAGAUCAUACAGCUCAACAGGUAACAGCUAACUCUCUCAAGGCAUGAACACAUCUUUUGUCCAUAGGUCUGUGAUGAA